rnacentral:rRNA from 1 species
GAUGAACGCUGGCGGCAUGGAUUAGGCAUGCAAGUCGAACGAAUAGCUAGAAGCUUGCUUCUGGCAAAGAGUGGCGAAAGGGUGAGUAACGCGUGAAUAAUCUACCUUCAAGUUGGGAAUAACUCUUGGAAACGAGGGCUAAUACCGAAUGUGAAUAUUUGAUCGCCUGGUCAAUUAUUUAAAGAUUUAUUGCUUGAAGAUGAGUUCGCGUUCCAUUAGCUAGUUGGUGAGGUAACGGCUCACCGAGGCGACGAUGGAUAGGUGGUCUGAGAGGAUGGUCACCCACACUGGGACUGAGACACUGCCCAGACUCUACGGGAGCUGCAGUCGAGAAUCUUCCGCAAUGCGCGAAAGCGUGACGGAGCAAUGCCGCGUGAUUGAUGAAGGCCUUUAGGGUUGU